rnacentral:lncRNA from 1 species
GAAGUCUCGUUCUUGUCCCCCAGGCUGGAGUGCAAUGGCAUGAUCUCAGCUCACUGCAACCUCUGCCUCCCGGGUUCAAGCAAUUCUCCUGUCUCAGCCUCCUGAGUAGCUGGAUUACAGAGUCUUUUCUAAGGCACCAACUACUUCCUUCAAGCAGCAGCCAGAGAUCUUUGCUUAAUGGCUGAGAAACACAGAGGAGAGACCCAGAGAGAAGGAGAAGGCCGCAUGAAGAUGGAGCAGAGACUGGAGUUAUUCAGCCAAGUCAAGGAAUGCCUGGAGCACCAGAAGCCGGAAGAGGCAAGGAAGGAUCCUCCCUUAGAGCAUUUGGAAGAGUGUGGCCCUGCCAACACCUUGACUUCAAACUUCUGGCCUCCAUAACUAUGAAAUAAAUUCUUGUUGUUUUAAGCC